rnacentral:rRNA from 1 species
GAUGAACGCUAGCUACAGGCUUAAUACAUGCAAGUCGAACGGUAACAGGGUCUUCGGACUGCUGACGAGUGGCGGAUGGGUGAGUAACGCGUAUGCAACCUUCCUCACACCGAGAAAAAGUCGACUGAAAAGUUGAAUAAAGUCUCGUGGUGUGCAUUUCUCGCAUGAGAGAUGUAUGAUAGAAGCAAUUUGGUGUGAGAUGGGCAUGCGUAUCAUUAGCUAGUUGGUAAGGUAACGGCUUACCAAGGCGACGAUGAUUAGGGGGCCUGAGAGGGUGGUCCCCCACACUGGGACUGAGACACGGCCCAGACUCCUACGGGAGGCAGCAGUAGGGAAUAUUGGUCAAUGGGCGGAAGCCUGAACCAGCCAUGCCGCGUGAUGGAUGACGGCCUUAGGGUUGUAAACAUCUUUUCUGCUAGAGGAAUAGAGUUCACGUGUGGACAGACGACUGUAUAGCAGGAAUAAGGAUCGGCUAACUCCGUGCCAGCAGCCGCGGUAAUACGGAGGAUUCGAGCGUUAUCCGGAUUUACUGGGUUUAAAGGGUGCGCAGGCGGGCUCUUAAGUCAGCGGUGAAAUGUCUGGGCUUACCCUAGGAAUUGCCGUUGAUACUGGGAGUCUUGGAUAAGCAUAAGGACGGCGGAAUGCGUAGUGUAGCGGUGAAAUGCUUAGAUAUUACGUAGAAGACCAAUUGCGAAGGCAGCUGUCUGGGUCUUUAUCGACGCUCAAGCACGAAAGCGUGGGGAGCAAACAGG